rnacentral:sRNA from 3 species
AUAUCUCUCUGUACGGGAAGGAUGAGAAGCUUCUACCAGGGUUCGAUUCGAGCGCAGCGAGAAAGCGUUGCCGCAGGCAACGACCCGAAGGGCGAAGCGCGCAG